UCAACCCUAUUUCUCCACAACUCUUCAAGCCGCAACCGUAAGAACUAUGAAACUUCAUUAGUUCAUCUCCAUAUCUUUCACUCAUUCUGAUCACAAUCCGCCGAUCUUGGAUACAUCAGAUUUUGAAGGUCGUGAGAUCAAAUAAUGUGAAGGAAUCCUGAUUUGGUGAAAGUAUGGAACACUUCAUCAAGAGAGAUAUAUGGAUGCUGAAGCUUUAAAUUAUGUUGGUGUAUUUGAAAAUUAUAAGAGAAAAGUUAUGGUUAUGUAGUCAUAUGUUAAAGUAAUUCAUUGUUUUGUUUGAAUCGUAUGUGGUGUGAAACUUUUGAAAUGAAUAAAAAUGUUUGUAGUA